rnacentral:rRNA from 1 species
UGGGGAAUUUUGGACAAUGGGCGAAAGCCUGAUCCAGCAAUGCCGCGUGUGUGAAGAAGGCCUUCGGGUUGUAAAGCACUUUUGUCCGGAAAGAAAUCCUUGGCUCUAAUACAGUCGGGGGAUGACGGUACCGGAAGAAUAAGCACCGGCUAACUACGUGCCAGCAGCCGCGGUAAUACGUAGGGUGCAAGCGUUAAUCGGAAUUACUGGGCGUAAAGCGUGCGCAGGCGGUUUGCUAAGACCGAUGUGAAAUCCCCGGGCUCAACCUGGGAACUGCAUUGGUGACUGGCAGGCUAGAGUAUGGCAGAGGGGGGUAGAAUUCCACGUGUAGCAGUGAAAUGCGUAGAGAUGUGGAGGAAUACCGAUGGCGAAGGCAGCCCCCUGGGCCAAUACUGACGCUCAUGCACGAAAGCGUGGGGAGCAAACAGGAUUAGAUACCCUGGUAGUCCACGCCCUAAAACGAUGUCAACUAGUUGUUGGGGAUUCAUUUCCUUAGUAACGUAGCUAACGCGUGAAGUUGACCGCCUGGGGAGUACGGUCGCAAGAUUAAAACUCAAAUGAAUUGACGGGGUCAUAGCUG